rnacentral:RNase_P_RNA from 1 species
UUGCGGAAAUGGAUGGUCGCUGGGUUUUAGGCCUGGAGGAAAGUCCGGACUCCAUGGAGGAGAGUGCCAGAUAACGUCUGGCGAUAUUACUGUCGCACCAGCGUAAGUUGUUAUGUUCUUCGGAUAGUACGUUGCGCAUUGGUGAUCCGGUAAUGUUAGGGAAAGUGCAACAGAAAAUAUACCGCCCUCGGGUAAGGGUGAAAUGGCGAGGUAAAAGCUCACCGCGCAGUUGGUAACAACAACGGCAAGGCAAACCCCACUUGGAGCAAGAUCAAAUAGGAAUAACGUUAAUGUCCUCCACAUAUAGGUUAUUCGGGUAGGUCGCUUGAUGUUUGCGGUGACGCAAAUACCAGAUGAAUGACCAUCGGGAUGCAUUUUUGCGUUUUACAGAAUCCGGCUUAUAGUUUCCGCAGAAAC